CUGUAGCUGAAAUCAACAGAAAGGCUAUAAUCACAUCUGAUGGUCCUGAUGGGAGAUUCAAAGACAUACUACAGGUGGACCAUUGGACUGGAUCUCUGACCAUCAGGAAUAUCGGAACCAAACACUCUGGAUAUUAUGAAGUUGGUAUCAGGAGUGGAAGUAGCAGAUACACCACACAUACGUCAUUUAAUGUGACUGUCAGCGGUUCAGGUCUGUCUCCAGCUGCUGUAGCAGGGAUUGUUGGUAGUAUUGUUGUUAUUCUGCUGGCUGCAGCUGUAGUUAUAGCUCUUGUUGUGAUUCACCAUCGCCGCAGGAUUGCUAAACUAAAAAGACAAAGGAAAAAUGUCCGCCCGCAUGUCAAACUUAAGAAAUGCUGUUUUUUUUAAAACCUUCAGAAGGGAGGCAAUGACCAGCCGUCGAUCGGUGCUCUGGUGAUUAAAUUGUUCAUGAAGAAUGUUGCAACCUGAGUAAUACUGAUAAUACUUUAGUUUUGACAUGUUUCGAUUUGUGAUGCGAUUUGUUAAACUUACAAAAUUUAGCAGGACAAAACAUUUUAUUCGACACCCCUGCACUGUUACGCUGCAUGUAUUGGUGUUUAUGCUUCAAUAUGUUGUAGAUGACUUUUGUAAAAAUAGUUAAAAAUAAACUUUUAUUUGACAAUA